AAAAAAAAAAAAAAAAACCUAAUUCAAUGGAAACAAGGAUACUUUGUCCAUUCAAAUGUUCACCUUUUUCUUGCUUUUUAGGGCGGCACCCUUGGCACAUGAAGUUUCCCAGGCUAGGGGUCUAAUCAGACCUAUAGCUGCUGGCCUACGCCACAGCCACAGCAACACCAAAUCUGAGCCAUGUCUGCGACCUACACCCCAGCUCACGGCACUGCCGAAUCCCUAACCCACUGAGCAAGGCCAGGGAUCAAACCCACAACCUCAUGGUUCCUAGUCAGACUCGUAUCCACUGCGCCAUGACAGGAGCUCCGAGGUGUUCACCUAUUCUUAACACCCCAAAAUGUCUUAUCAUUUCUUAACUUUGCCCCUUCCCCCUGUCUCCUGCUUUCCUUUCUAGCUGUUCCCCUAUUUGUCCACUCCCCCCCACAACUUUCUCUACCAGCUUUCCCUCAGGGUAUGGGAGAGGCUGGAAUAGUUGUAGCAAAGCCUCUAGGAGUGGCUGUGGUUGGCUCCUCGGUGUUCAGGGCACAGAAAAGAAAGAGCCAAGUGUUUUUGCUUCCAUCUCGUCAAGGGAGAGAAGGUAAAAAGACUGCUCCCCCAACUCAAGAAACUCAUGAAAGUAAAAGUCGAAAUACCUCUCCCCUGACAGUAACUGGUGAAAACACACUAUCAAGAGAAGAUUGAAAGGAUGUUCACACCAUCAAGGAGCUUCUACAACCCCGCCAACAAGUAAACAGCAAAGGGGACCCUACCCGUUCCUCCCAAUGCUCUGAAUCAUCCAGAGCUGGGCAUCAACUCUUGCGCCCGGAGUGCUACAGCCAGUGCCCGGUCACUUGCAGCACAUUUGCGACAGAUCUAUUUUCUUCCACUUCAAACAAUUUUCUUUUCAAGGCCAGGGAUCCCAAUGUAAAACGAAGGCUUGGAAAAAAAACACCAGUUCCCCGAGAAGAGCGUUCAAACAUAAUCUCUGAUUAGUCAUUAGCAGAACAUUGCAGAAAUAAAUAAAUAUACAUACACAUACAUAUGUAUGUCUUUUUCCAGGAGAUUCGGCCUUGGGAAUGACAUCUGUUCAUGAGAAAAAGAAAUGUCCUCAUCCCAACAGCCGAACACAGCCUUUACGGCUGUUCUGCAAAAAAGGGGGUAAAAAAGUCCCAAGGAGAUCAAGAAUAGGGCGCCAUUUGGUGCUCCCCAAUCGAGUACCAGCACCACCCAUGUUCUCCUUUCAGCUCCUGAAAUAAAAAUAUUCUCACGCACGCAGAGCACAAUAGCACGGGCUACUGCCCUCCCUCACGGAGUGUGAUUCUCUCGGAGGCUUGCCUUCUGCUCUGUUUGCAGGCACCACUCUCCCAAGGCCAGGGGGCCCUUCUGCAUCUUCCCUUACACUUCGGAUCAAGAGGAAAGGGACCAGAAUGAGUGACCCUGCCUCCACAGAGGUUGAUGUCAUCAAGGAUUCAGGAUGACUGCCCAACGCCGGCCGAGGUGGGGCAGAGUCAUGGGGCGGCCAAGGAGCCCCUUCUAAGGAAAGUGGAGUUAAUCAGUCUUUUUAUGCACACACACAUGCCAGCUUCACACAUUUGAAAAAUAAACCCAUGCUAAGCAAAGGGCCUAUUUUAGCAUCAUCUUAUAAAAACUAGAUAGACGGGUAGCAGCAGCCCUCCUUUGGAGCAAUAACACUGGCCCUCACUUCCUUGCUGGUUUUAGCUUGUCCAGCCUUAAGAAUGAAGAGGGAAUUGCAAAGUGCUUAUGAAAAGAGCUAAAAACAAAACAAACGAUGAUCACUCUCCCAAGAAGGACUGGGCUCUGAUGAAUUAAUGCAUCCGUAAUAAUUCCUCGGCAUUCCUGCAGAAAAUGUCCCUUUGGUAAUGUAGCCCCUGGGCUGCUGUGGGAAAAAGAUCCCAGUUUCUCCUUGCUGAACAAAUGAUCUGAUUAGUGUCCAAAAUAAGGAGGCGUGCACGCUCCCCAAGCCUGAGCUUUUCCGAGUGGCCUGAGUCAGCCACCGUACAGCACGGCUUGGCCUGGAGCCAAGAGCCCUCCUGCCAAGGAGACUACAAGUUUCUGAAGAGCCACCACAGGCCCGAUGCCGGGAGAGUCACCCAAACAAAAGCCGGCCACCAAGUUCAACAACUGGCUUGCAAUGCACCAUAUGCUCCACAAUAUUGUCCUGCUGCAGCAAGGGGCCUGUGCGCGGGUUCCCGCGUGCUGCACAGCUGUCAGCCCAGGAGCCGUUUUAUCAUGAUUUCCACUGUUUUAUUACUUUUCUGGGAAUUCAAAUCAGUGUAACCGCGCUUGAUGCACCGGGUGAAAAAUGGUGUCUCCCUCCCCCUCCUCCUUCAACCUAAUGAAUUGCCUUUUUUCAUAUCAAAGAGUAAUGAGCACCAAACCACAUAAUAUUUAUUCAUGGAACAAAAGACAGAGGAAUGGAGGGGGUGGGGGAGGCAGAGGCAGCUCCUGGGUGUGGAGGGAAGAAAAGCUGGACGUUUUAAAGGCGUUCUUCACUCUGAUCCCCAGCGACGGUGGGUUCCGUGCACAGGGAAAUGCAAACCCUUCCGCUCUCCCCAGUCCCUUGGAGCCCACUUUCCAGCUAGACAGACCCUGGUCUGUGCCCAGAGAUCCUGCUGCCAAGACUGUCGGUAACCAAACGUAAGGCACCCCCUAGACCUGACGGUGAGCUGUCUACACAUUUUCUUUCUGAGUAAACUUUCCCCAAAGCCUCCUCUCUUCUGUCUCAUGAGCGUUAAAACAGUAUAUUGCAGAACAGUCUAGAUAGAGCCCUUUUUUCCUGGCAUCAUCCUGACCUCCAUUGUGGACGGGCAUGACUGGCCCAGGGAGAACGAGCCGGAGAAACCAUGGCGACCCCGGAGCCUUAUCUGCUCCUUUCUUUUACGUAGAUGACCUAAUUUUUACCUGUUCCCCCUCCCUUCUUGCCAUAGUCAAUCUCUCGCACUCUGUUCCACAAGUUUUCGAUCCAGAAAACAGAAAAUAAAUAUACAAUCAGACAACAGGAGGAAUAACCUCACCCAACCCGUGGUCCAUAUCCUUCUUUCUAGACACUGAGACAGUUUAAUUGUCCCCUUGGCAAAGAAUCCCUAAAUUGGGAGGGGGCAAGAAGGACAACUAAGCCAAAUUAAUGCUGAGUGAACCAUGUUUCUUGAAGGACAACUCCCCCUCUGGGCGCAAGGCACCAAAGCGAAAGGAAAACUCUAAGGUAAGAUGGCUAUUAAACAAAGGUCCCUCCAAGACGAUACAUGCUCAUGCUAAGAGAGAUUAAAAGGCACUGAGAACAACAUAAGGAAUUUUUAACACCAGUGGCUGAGUUGCUAUUUCUUCCUCUGAUAUCAUCACUCAGUAUCUUUAAUUUCUCCAUUUAAAAUUCUGUGUUGGCGUUUCCCCUGUGGGGCAGUGGGUGAAGGAUCCUGAGUUGUCUCAGCAUCGGCUCAGGCCGCUGCAAACCCAAAGGUUCACUGCCACCCAGCACCGGUGGGUUAAGGAUCUGGCAUUACCUCAGCUGUGGUGUCAGUCGCAGCUGCAGCUUGGACUUCAUCCCUGGCCUGGGAACCUCCAUAUGCCAGAGGUGCAGCCAAAACAGAAAAAAAAUUCUACGUCGUUAUACACACCACUAUAUAUAAAAUAAAAGGCAAUUACCCACUGUAUAGCACAGGGAACUAUAGUCAAUAUCUUGUAAUAGCCUGUAAAUGGAAAAGAACCUGAAAAAGAAUAUAUAUGCAUAUAUUUAUACAUAUGUAUGUAAAUAUAUAACAAUCAUUUUGCUAUACCCCAGAAACUAACACAAUGAUGCAAAUUAGCUAUUCUUCAAUUUUAAAAGCGGUUAAAAAAUUCUGUGUUGAGGAGUUCCCAUCAUGGCUCAAUGGUUAAUAAAUCCAACUAGGAACCAUGAGGUUGUGGUUCGAUCCCUGGCCUCGCUCAGUGGGUUGAGGAUCCGUGAGCCGUGGUGUAGGUUGCAGACGUGGCUCGGAUCCUGAGUUGCUGUGGCUGUGGUGUAGGCCGGCAGCUACAGCUCCAAUUAGACCCGUAGCCUGGGAACCUCCAUGUGCUGUGAAUGCGGCCAGUAAAAAAAAAAAAAAAAAAAAAAGAUUUUUUUUUAAACUAUGACAGAUAUAUUUAAGUUCUUCAAAAUCACACAGUAAUGCACUUCUUCCUCUAACCUGGGCCACCAAGAUGGUUGUGAAUUUUAACAUUGAAGAAUUUACCCGGACAAUUCCCCUCAAACCUUGUAUUAGACUCCCUUGCUUAAGCAACCCUCUUGCUUCCUCCUUGUACAGUCUCAUUUCUGUAAGUCUGUCAAAGCUAAUUAUCUCUCUUCUCAAAUGUAUUGCUCUUCAGUGCAUCAUCAACACAUAUAUUACAAAAAGUUGAAGAAAACAGUGACGUGUGCGUUACACUGUGAAGGAAAAGACAGACAUAAAUAAUUAUUCAGAGUAUCCACUCUCGGUUAAUAGAGGCAUGAAAAUGGCAUUAGGAAGAAGGGACGGGAUACCAAAGCCAGCCAGUCCCCUCCCCCUUCCAUAUAUGGUUGUCCUCACCCCCACCAGCCAAUACCAGAAACUCCUACACCAUCACUUCAGGGUAGCGAGGGAAGCAAAAUUCUUAGCUUGGCAAUCCUUUGACAUUCCAGGCCGCAGAUAAACACAGAGCCUACCAAACCGGUAACACAGACAACUGGCACCUCGGCAGAGGGAACAAAGCCACGAUUCUCCCGGGCACACACUAUCAUUAGGCUCCUUUCCUUGAAACUAUUGUUACAUAUUUCCCAGUGUUCCAACUUCAAUCUCAGACCCAGACCACAAACGUCAAGGUAAAAAAAGGCCCCUGAAUGAUUUAUAUCAGUCCUUUCACUCUAAAAACAGGAUCAAACGCGGGGGGGGGGUCCAUUUGAAUUUCAAUAGCCAGGGUGCCAAAUAUCCCAGCUUCUGGAGGUUCACCCAACUUUGCCACCCUCCAGGUUACCACCAUGACAAGGUCCAAGUUCAUCACAGGCUCCAGACUAACUCCACUCUAACACAUACCAUCUGCCAAAGACUUUUUUUUUUCCAAUAUGGUUAGUCCUUGUUGUGACAGUUUUUUUCAACUAUCCCUUCCAUAGGUUCUGAGAAGGAAGCAGCAUGAAAUCCAAAUCUGAUGUCAUUGUUUCCAUGCUUCAUUGAAGAAAACGAACGUGUUUUUAAAAAUCCAAUAGCAGCUGCAAACCCUUUAGGAAUUCCCAGUUAAACUGCAAAGUACGUUCUCAACCAUUUAGCCGUAACAACUUUCUAAACUGAGAAAGUUACUCCUUUAGAGAAACCACCCUGUUUACCCAACAUCAGAGCGUCUCCUGGGGAAGGGGCUACUGCAGGAUGUGAAGAGAAUGUUACACCCGGGAGGCGCUGAUCUGCACACACCACUGUGAGGAAAUACCUGAAGUGAUUAAAGAUAACACCACCUGCACGCGCUGCAAAGGCGUCCCCUGCUACAGCUACAUCUCUGCUCCCGGAGGCAGGGAGGAAGGAGGGACCAAAAUGCCACAGUGGAUUAGAACUGGGGACAAAAGGAGCACAGAAUAGAAGAUAGGAGCAGGCACGGGGGAGGUAUGUUCUACCCGCAGGGCACUCCGGUAUUGUGAGCACUCAGCCACUCCGAAGCCAAAACUCAGGGAUGAACAAUUAAAACAGUUGUAUUUCUUUAGUCUCCAGGAAAUUUUGUCGGGCUCUGACAGAGGUCCGAUUUCUUUGCAUAAAUGUUAACAUCAACCUCAGAAUCGCCUUGGUAUGAAUUUAUCUCCGAGGUUAUUAAACUCUCUUCAAAAAGAAUGAGUCUGAAACCCUCACUUUUUGUAACACGUGUUUUUUUAAAAACUCCAUAAUAAGUUAAGACUUGAUUCUCAUCAUGUAUUCCCUGGAACAAAUCAUGUCGGGACUCUUUCAAAAAAGAAAUGGAAAAUGCUUUCCAAAAGGAAUUAGAACCUAGAAGUUUACUGCAGCCUAGCUGCAAUCUCACCAGCCUUUGGAAAACAGUUUUAAUCUAAUAACUAUAAUCA
rnacentral:lncRNA from 1 species